rnacentral:tRNA from 1 species
UAAAUUUUAGUUUAAUUAAAAUUUAAUAAUUACAAUAUUAAGAUAUAAAAUUUAUAAAUUUAA